rfam:Felis catus isolate Cinnamon breed Abyssinian chromosome D2, whole genome shotgun sequence.
GCCUAGGUGGCUCAGUUGGUUAAGCGUCUGACUUUGGCUCAGGGCAUGAUCUCACGGUCCGUGAGUUCGAGCCCCACGUUGGGCU